rnacentral:sRNA from 1 species
GCAGGGUGUGGUGGCGCACGCCUGUAAUCCCAGUGGCUUGGGAGGCUGAGGCAGGAGGAUCAUGAGUUCAAAGCCAGCCUCAGCAACUUAGCGAGGCCCUAAAAAACUCAGCGAGACCCUGUCUCUA